AGUGAACGCUGGCGAUAGGCCUAACACAUGCCAGUCGAACGGCAGCACAGUAAGAGCUUGCUCUUACGGGUGGCGAGUGGCGGACGGGUGAGGAAUACAUCGGAAUCUACUUUUUCGUGGGGGAUAACGUAGGGAAACUUACGCUAAUACCGCAUACGACCUACGGGUGAAAGCAGGGGAUCUUCGGACCUUGCGCGAUUGAAUGAGCCGAUGUCGGAUUAGCUAGUUGGCGGGGUAAAGGCCCACCAAGGCGACGAUCCGUAGCUGGUCUGAGAGGAUGAUCAGCCACACUGGAACUGAGACACGGUCCAGACUCCUACGGGAGGCAGCAGUGGGGAAUAUUGGACAAUGGGCGCAAGCCUGAUCCAGCCAUACCGCGUGGGUGAAGAAGGCCUUCGGGUUGUAAAGCCCUUUUGUUGGGAAAGAAAAGCAGCAGGUUAAUACCCCGCUGUUCUGACGGUACCCAAAGAAUAAGCACCGGCUAACUUCGUG
rnacentral:rRNA from 1 species